rnacentral:ncRNA from 1 species
UUCCUGGUUGAUCCUGCCAGUUGUCAUUUGCUUGUCACAAAGAUUAAGCCAUGCAUGUCUCAGUGCAUGCCGAAUUAAGGUGAAACCGCGAAUGGCUCAUUAAAUCAGUUAUGGUUCAUUAAAUUGUACCGAAAUUUACUUAGUUAACUAUGAUAAUUCUAGAGCUAAUACAUGCAACACAGAGUCCCGACCUGUGAUGGAUGGGACGCUUUAUUAGAUAAAAACCAAUCGGUGGCGCGGGGUCCGCCUUGCGUCCACCGUUUAUUUUGGCGACUCUGAAUAACUUUGUGCUGAUCGCACGGUCUCUGCACCGGCGACGCAUCUUUCAAAUGUCUGCCUUAUCAACUGUCGAUGGUAGGUUCUGCGCCUACCAUGGUUGUAACGGGUAACGGGGAAUCAGGGUUCGAUACCAGAGAGGGAGCCUGAGAAACGGCUACCACAUCCAAGGAAGGCAGCAGGCGCGCAAAUUACCCACUCCCGG